rnacentral:rRNA from 1 species
CUACGGGGUGCAGCAGUGGGGAAUAUUGCGCAAUGGGGGAAACCCUGACGCAGCGACGCCGCGUGGAGGAUGAAGGUUUUCGGAUCGUAAACUCCUGUCAGUAGGGAAGAACCCUGCAAAGAAUAAUACGCUUUGCAGCUGACGGUACCUACAGAGGAAGCACCGGCUAAUUCCGUGCCAGCAGCCGCGGUAAUACGGAAGGUGCAAGCGUUAAUCGGAAUCACUGGGCGUAAAGCGCUCGUAGGUUGCUAUGUAAGUCAGGUGUGAAAGCCCACGGCUCAACCGGGGAAUUGCACUUGAUACUGCAUAGCUAGAGUUCGGGAGAGGGGAGUGGAAUUCCAGGUGUAGGAGUGAAAUCCGUAGAGAUCUGGAGGAACACCAGUGGCGAAGGCGACUACCUGGACCGAUACUGACACUGAGGAGCGAAAGCGUGGGGAGCAAACAGGAUUAGAUACCCUAGUAGUC